rnacentral:tRNA from 1 species
ACGGCUGUCGCCAAAUUGGCAAGGCACCGGGAUUUGACCCCGGCACGUGAGCUAUGCUCCUUGUAGGUUCGAGCCCUACCAGCCGCA